UACGUAGGGGGCAAGCGUUGUCCGGAUUUAUUGGGCGUAAAGAGCGUGUAGGCGGCUGGGUAGGUCCGUUGUGAAAACUCGAGGCUCAACCUCGAGACGCCGAUGGAAACCCCCCAGCUAGAGUCCGGAAGAGGAGAGUGGAAUUCCUGGUGUAGCGGUGAAAUGCGCAGAUAUCAGGAGGAACACCGGUGGCGAAGGCGGGUCUCUGGGCCGUAACUGACGCUGAGGAGCGAAAGCAUGGGGAGCGAACAGG
rnacentral:rRNA from 1 species